GACUACGGCCAUGCCACCCUGAACAAGCCCGAUCCUGUCUGAUCUCGGAAGCUAAGCAGCGUCAGGCCUGGUUAAUACUUGGAUGGGAGACCACGUAGGAAGACCAGGUGUUGUAGACG
rnacentral:rRNA from 1 species